AAAAAAAAAAAAAAAAAAACUCUUAUUACCUUGAAUUAGAAAGCAGAUCUCUUGCAUUGGGUUAUGUAGCAGCAUUUUUUCGGCUCUUUUCAGCAUAGUUGCAUGCAUGUGCAAUUCUCUUGAUGUUGUAAUUGUUUCAUAUUAAAAUCUAUUUACAUGCAUUUAUGUUAUAUUUUUCACUAGUUGGCAAGUGAUAUUUGAAGUUGAAAAUAGUUUAUUUGGCUUAAUUUUAUCAUCAAUUGAUGGGAUCCGGAAUUUAUUUCAGAAAUUAGGAGUUUAUGCUUAGAUUUAAUGCUUGCAUAUUAGACAUUCAAAAAAAUGCGUAUGCGUAGAUGUGGUAUGUUUUCACUUAAAAUUUGACAUUUUUAAAGAGUUUUACGUUUGAAAAAAAAAAGAUGUAUAAAAAGAGUAGUUACUGAUCAUCGUCUCCAAUAUCUAUUAUUCAAAAAAAAGAAAAAAUUUGACGUUUUAAAGAGUUUUACUCUUUCGUUAAUUUCUAAAUGUUAAUAAAAUUUAAACUACCGAGAUCUACCUACUCCACCAAAAUAUACCUGGCUGCAGACAGUAGUUUAGAGGGACGACCAGACAGCAGGGUCUCCCAGUCCAGGUUUUGGUUUUGAUCAAAUCUAAUAGUCAAAUUCUCUCUCUCUCUCUCUC
rnacentral:misc_RNA from 1 species